AACGAUGAACCUCACUUGUGGGGGGAUUAGUGGCGAACGGGUGAGUAACACGUGAGUAACCUGCCCUUGACUCUGGGAUAAGCCUGGGAAACCGGGUCUAAUACUGGAUACGACCUUCUGGCGCAUGCCAUGUUGGUGGAAAGCUUUUGUGGUUUUGGAUGGACUCGCGGCCUAUCAGCUUGUUGGUGGGGUAAUGGCCUACCAAGGCGACGACGGGUAGCCGGCCUGAGAGGGUGACCGGCCACACUGGGACUGAGACACGGCCCAGACUCCUACGGGAGGCAGCAGUGGGGAAUAUUGCACAAUGGGCGCAAGCCUGAUGCAGCGACGCCCCGUGAGGGAUGAAGGCCUUCGGGUUGUAAACCUCUUUCAGUAGGGAAGAAGUCCAUCUUUCGGGGUGGGUGACGGUACCUGCAGAAGAAGCGCCGGCUAACUACGUGCCAGCAGCCGCGGUAAUACGUAGGGCGCAAGCGUUAUCCGGAAUUAUUGGGCGUAAAGAGCUCGUAGGCGGUUUG
rnacentral:rRNA from 1 species